UAAAGCCCAGGAACUGUUGCAGCUCACAGUGAAACUCACUUUUCACCAGGAAGUGCUGCAGGAGUGCUGGAUGUGCUGUAUGGUCGCAGAAAUUAAAAUGGUGUCAAGGGAGACAAACACAAACUUAUUAAGCAUGUGUCUCGGGACACCAUUAAAUCAGGCAUUGGAACACAGCUGGAUUGUCAGUAAGGCCAAAAGGCAUGACCAGGUAUUCGCAAUGGCCAGAGGGCGUGUUGAAGACCGUCUUCCACUCGUCCCCUCUGUUGUGCGGACUAGAUGGUAGGUAUUGCGGAUAUUCGAGGUUGGCAAAGAACUUUAGUUGUAGCUCAAAGGUGUCUGAGGACAUCCGAGGAAGAGGGUAUCAAUUAUUUACCGUGAUGUUGCUAAGACCCCUAUAGUCAAUACAGGGGCAGAGGGAACCAUCCUUCUUAGUCACAAAGAAAAACCCGGAGAAGAGAAGGGGUGAGUGAUACCUGCAGCCAGGGACUCCUGAAUGUAUUCAUUCCUUGCCUCAGUUUCAGGAGGAGACAGGGAGAAGAGACAACUUCAUGGGGGUGAUGUGCCAGGCAUAUGAUCUAUGGCACAGUCAUAGGUGUGAUAUGGAGGCAGGGAGGUAGCCCAGGACUCGCUGAACACUGCCUUGUGAUCCGAGUAGUCAGUGAGCAAGACAGUAAGGUAGUGAGUAAGACAGUAAGGUAGUGAGCAAGACAGUAAGGUAGUGAGUAAGACAGUAAGGUAGUGAGGUAGUGAGCAAGACAGUAAGGUAGUGAGCAAGACAGUAAGGUAGUGAGGUAGUGAGCAAGACAGUAAGGUAGUGAGCAAGACAGUAAGGUAGUGAGGUAGUGAGCAAGACAGUAAGGUAGUGAGUAAGGCAGUAAGGUAGUGAGCAAGACAGUAAGGUAGUGAGUGAGACAACAUAGACUCUAACCUCAAAUGUUGUUACUAACCCAAUCUAGGUGCGGAUUGUGCUUAACCAGCCAGAACAAUCGGGGCUUGGGGGGAAUGUAGCAGAUGAAACACUGUGGUCUCCUGGUGGUUUCCAGAAAUAAGUAGACUCACCGUUGGAGAGAUAUGUGUGGUGUGGGCAAGCUUCACUCCAGUUAAAGCAUUAGCCUCCAGGGUGUUCUGCAGCAUGGUUGGGGAAGGAUGCAGUUAGGAGUCAACGAGAAUGGACACAAUGUAUGAUGGUGAUUGUCUGUGAGGAGAGUAGCAGGAAAAAGGGUGCGAAUCAUAGGGGAA
ensembl:lncRNA